CGUCAAAGUCCUCAUGGCCUUUUAUGACCAGGGCUACACACGUACUACAAUGGCAGGUACAAAGGGCAGCCACUUAGCGAUAAGGCGCGAAUCCCGUAAAACCUGUCUCAGUCCGGAUUGGAGUCUGCAACUCGACUCCAUGAAGUUGGAAUCGCUAGUAAUCGCAGAUCAGCACGCUGCGGUGAAUACGUUCCCGGGCCUU
rnacentral:rRNA from 1 species